rnacentral:lncRNA from 1 species
GCAGGCAACAGCAAAAAGGAGGGACGGAGAGGCCUCCGUGUGCAACCUGAUCCCCUCAAAGCCAGAAGCUAACAAUAGCCUGCCUGGGGCCUGGCAGAGGACAGGAAACGCCCGGGUCAGAAAGGAGACUGUCAUGAAGGGAGGCAGAUUGCACCCCUUUUGUGUAUGGAGCGUCAGCUCAAUCAGAUAUUUUCUAAAUUUGGGGGACAAUUGCAGCUCAGCCAGCCUAACCCAGGGGCUGAGCUCACUAAACAGAAAAAGUAAACAUUCGUGGGACAGAUCCAGGUCUCUGUGUAUCAGGAACUCUGAUUCUCUUCCAGCCUGAUGUCACACCUGCAAGGCAGAGAACCCUGGCGCCUAGGCAGAGUGUGGGGACCUCAAAAUACAGAUUGAAUCUGAAAACCACAAACUUCUUACCCACAUUAACAUGAGGAAGCAAAAAACCUCCUAGGUUUUGAUUGUUCCUUUUGUUUACUGAGAACAGUGGUGUUGGACAUGGCUCUAGGACACCAGGCACGAACACGUGAAAACUGCCAUUCACAAAAUGUGCCUGCCAGUGUCUUCCCUGGUGUGUGGGGGGGUCAUUCGUGGAGGGAAGGAAGGAGAGGGUGGAACACAGGGAGCAGAGAACCCAGGCGGCCCCUGUGCCCUGCACAACUGGACAGGCUCUGGGAGGAGCCCUCACACACACCUGCAGCCCCUCUGCGGAUGUCGGGGCUAGUGGGGUCUUGGAGGGGGUUUCUGGCCUGUAUCCGUGUGUCCUCCUAUUCCCAGGAGCAGCUCUAGGCCUCCCACUGUCAGCCUUGGUUCCUCCUCAAGACCAAGGAGAGCAGCUGGCCCUUUGAAGGCCCGCAUGUCGCACCACAUUCUAGGAACUCAAGGCCACCUGUGUGUCUUAAAGCAAAUGGAGCAGAACAAGGUGUCUUUAGAUGGCCACGCGCCCCACGUGGGAGGCGCUUUAAUGGGCAGCAGGGUUUGUGCCGUCCAGUCUUCCACCCCCAGCUCUCAGAAGGGACAUUGGCAUGGAAUGGUGGGAAAACCCAGUGCUGAGUGCCCACCUCCUGGCCAGCUGACCGUCCGCAGCCGCGAGUCUCCCUGCUCAGCGGGCCUCUCCCAUCAGCUCAGCUCCUCGGGGGAGUGGAGUGUGAGUAGCUUGUGUGAUCACUUUGGGAGGAGAGGGGCUGGGUGGGAGAAGCUCCCUGUCAUGUGGACAGGCUCUCGGGGGCCGGGAGGCCCUGACUCUGGAGCCAGUCUGCUUGGAUCGCCUUUUAGGUACAGAAUGUCGCACCCUGGGCCACGUGACCUAAGCUUUCUAGGCUUCAUUUGCUCAUCUGUAAAGUGGGUGUGUGAAGUUUCAGUGGAACCAACCUGAAAGUUCUCAGGCCUGCUGAGCGCCACACGCACCACGGGAAUGUCGGCUCUUACUGGGGCAGGGUCUGGCGGGGACACGGCCCUCCUGGUAGCCAGGGCGCUGCUUUUCCAUUCUGCACCGAUGGCACUAGGCAGGAAGUGAGAUCAAGGGCCACCAGGUUCCAGCAGAGGGGGACAGCUUGGGGUGCUCCCCAGCCCCCAGAGGACUGCGUGGUUUAGAGUGUGUGGCCCCAGCAUGUGGCUCU